ACAGAAUCUGAUUAUCUUACAGUUGCA
rnacentral:piRNA from 1 species